GUAAUACGUCAACAAAACCGCCUUCUUCGAGUAAACUUGUUCGUACGGCUCCAUUAGCUACUGAACUUACGGUUGAUCUCAUGUUCACUGUUUGCUGCUGUGUGUCUCUCCAUGGAGUUGUUAAUAUUUUUAUUCUCUAAUGUUCCGGGGGUAACAAUUAUUUUAUAAAUCGCCAUUCCUGGGAUCAUGGCCACUGAAGACGAUGCUAUGAUCCAUCCAAUGAUAUUUGCCCACAAGGGUUUGUUACAGACGUCCAUGAUCAAAGGUGUCCUAAAUAGUUUGAAUAAUGAAAUUAAUUGAGGGCAAUUCGAGAGUAAAUUAGCGACCGAUCUUGCCGUUGAUAAUAGCUCGCGUGCUCCAGUAUGAACAUGCCGUAGCAGUACACAGCAGCAUCAGUACCAGCACUAGCAUCAUCAACACCAGCGUGUAGCAUCGCCAGUAGCCGCCCAUAGCAGUCAGUGCACACCCCAUUCCAACGG